GCCUGUAUUAAAACACUGGUUCACAUAAGAUCACUGGAGUUAAGCAACAUCGAGCUUGGUUAGUAGCUAGAUGGGUGACCGCUUGGGAAUACCAAGUGGUGUAAG